rnacentral:snRNA from 1 species
AUUCACAUGUCUCAUAAGAUUC